GAGUAUCCUUCCCGAUUUGCAGGAACCAGCCUGGAUUUGAAGGGACCUGACAGUUCCCCUGCUGUACCAUGGGUGACCUACUUGUGAUGUGGACCUGAACCUCUGCCAUGUAGCAGAGACACCCCCCUCAGGUCUUGCGGAGUAUCCUUCCCAAGGUGCAGGAACCAGCGUGGAUGAAGGGACCGGACAGUUUCCCUGCUGUACCAUGGGCGACCUACUUGUGAUGUUGACCUGAACCUCCGCCAUGUAGCAGAGACACCCCCCUCAGGUCUUGCGGAGUAUCCUUCCCAAGGUGCAGGAACCAGCGUGGAUGAAGGGACCGGACAGUUCCCCUGCUGUACCAUGGGCGACCUACCACAAUACCACUGCAUCUCUGAAAUGCCAUAUUUUAAAUUUUAUUAACUAAUAAUUUAAAGAAAAACCACACAAAACUUCUCAUUUUGAAAAUUUAUUGAAGAAUUAAAAUUUUAUUU